rnacentral:rRNA from 1 species
AAAGGGCGCACGGUGGAUGCCUUGGCACUAGGAGCCGAUGAAGGACGGGACUAACACCGAUAUGCUUCGGGGAGCUGUAAGUAAGCUUUGAUCCGGAGAUUUCCGAAUGGGGAAACCCACUGUUCGUAAUGGAACAGUAUCUUUACCUGAAUACAUAGGGUACUGAAGGCAGACCCGGGGAACUGAAACAUCUAAGUACCCGGAGGAAGAGAAAGCAAACGCGAUUUCCUGAGUAGCGGCGAGCGAAACGGAAUUAGCCCAAACCAAGAGGCUUGCCUCUUGGGGUUGUAGGACACUCAACAUGGAGUUACAAAGGAACGGGGUAAAUGAAGCGAUCUGGAAAGAUCCGUCGAAGAAGGUAAAAACCCUGUAGUUGAAACUUCGUUCCCUCCUGAGUGGAUCCUGAGUACGGCGGGACACGAGAAAUCCCGUCGGAAGCAGGGAGGACCAUCUCCCAAGGCUAAAUACUCCCUAGUGACCGAUAGUGAACCAGUACCGUGAGGGAAAGGUGAAAAGCACCCCGGAAGGGGAGUGAAAUAGAUCCUGAAACCGUGUGCCUACAAGUAGUCAAAGCCCGUUAAUGGGUAAUGGCGUGCCUUUUGUAGAAUGAACCGGCGAGUUACGAUUUCAUGCGAGGUUAAGUUGAUGAGACGGAGCCGCAGCGAAAGCGAGUCUGAAUAGGGCGAAUGAGUAUGAGGUCGUAGACCCGAAACCAGGUGAUCUACCCAUGUCCAGGGUGAAGUUCAGGUAACACUGAAUGGAGGCCCGAACCCACGCACGUUGAAAAGUGCGGGGAUGAGGUGUGGGUAGCGGAGAAAUUCCAAUCGAACCUGGAGAUAGCUGGUUCUCUCCGAAAUAGCUUUAGGGCUAGCCUCAAGAUGAGAGUAUUGGAGGUAGAGCACUGAUUGGACUAGGGGCCCCCAACGGGUUACCGAAUUCAGUCAAACUCCGAAUGCCAAAUACUUAUUCUUGGGAGUCAGACUGCGAGUGAUAAGAUCCGUAGUCGAAAGGGAAACAGCCCAGACCACCAGCUAAGGUCCCAAAGUAUACGUUAAGUGGAAAAGGAUGUGGAGUUGCUUAGACAACCAGGAUGUUGGCUUAGAAGCAGCCACCAUUUAAAGAGUGCGUAAUAGCUCACUGGUCGAGUGACUCCGCGCCGAAAAUGUACCGGGGCUAAACGUAUCACCGAAGCUGUGGAUUGACACCGUAUGGUGUCGAUGGUAGGAGAGCGUUCUAAGGGCGUUGAAGUCAGACCGGAAGGACUGGUGGAGCGCUUAGAAGUGAGAAUGCCGGUAUGAGUAGCGAAAGAAGGGUGAGAAUCCCUUCCACCGAAUGCCUAAGGUUUCCUGAGGAAGGCUCGUCCGCUCAGGGUUAGUCGGGACCUAAGCCGAGGCCGAAAGGCGUAGGCGAUGGACAACAGGUUGAUAUUCCUGUACCACCUAUACAUCGUUUGAACGAUGGGGGGACGCAGAAGGAUAGGGUAAGCGCGCUGUUGGAUAUGCGCGUCCAAGCAGUUAGGCCGGAAACGAGGCAAAUCCCGUUUCCAUUAAGGCGGAGCUGUGAUGGCGAGGGAAAUAUAGUACCGAAGUUCCUGAUUCCACGCUGCCAAGAAAAGCCUCUAGUGAGAUGUAAGGUGCCCGUACCGCAAACCGACACAGGUAGGCGAGGAGAGAAUCCUAAGGUGUGCGAGAGAACUCUCGUUAAGGAACUCGGCAAAAUGACCCCGUAACUUCGGGAGAAGGGGUGCUUUUUAGGGUGAAUAGCCCAGAAAAGCCGCAGUGAAUAGGCCCAGGCGACUGUUUAGCAAAAACACAGGUCUCUGCGAAGCCGCAAGGCGAAGUAUAGGGGCUGACACCUGCCCGGUGCUGGAAGGUUAAGGGGAGAGGUUAGCGCAAGCGAAGCUUUGAACCGAAGCCCC